rnacentral:rRNA from 1 species
AUGCUCCCUGUGCUCGAGUUCACUGAUCCCAAUGACCAAGAAGGAGGCAGACACUACUGGGUGUUUAACAUCAACUUAAGGGAUCAACAUUUCGAGGUGCUAGAUUCUUGGAGGAAGCUCGACAACCCUGACUUAAUGCACUAUGCUUCAACUAUAGUGGGGGCAGUGAGGUGUUUAUGGAAGCACCAUUACCCAAAGCACAAUAUCAGUCACUUUCAGGUCGUCGACAUUGAUGUACCCAAGCAACUCGGGAAGUAA